rnacentral:lncRNA from 1 species
GGAUAGAUUGUAACAUCCCAACUUUAAUUAAUAGGAAAAUAUUAAUUAGAGAUGUUAUUGGAAACUAAAUAGAAAUGAGAGUACAAGUAUUAAGGGAUACUCAAAUGACACAAGCACACUUUGAAGUUAAGUGAAAGGAUAAAAUGGUAAUUAAACUAUGCCUAUAUAAGGUCAUCACACUCACUCUACCUCCUAUUUUCAUAAAGCAAUUUCAGAGCACCUCACCCCAACACUCUCUUCUCUCUCCGUGUCCUUCAUUACCACCCCCAACAUCAAAGCUCACCCCACUAAUAUCACUUCAAUGUUGCAUGCAAGUUAGGAAUUGAAUUCUUUGAGUCUCAAGAAGCAAGGUUAGAACCCAUAACUUCCUUCUCCUUCCCUCUGCCACGCAAUAAUCUCCCUCUCCACCUUAACCCAAAUCAUUCUUAGCCUCCAAACCCUUAUUCCCUAAACUGCUCAUUCAUUUCCAAUCCUUCAACUUAUGGUGGUUGCAUGUGAAAUUAAAGCACUUAUGAACCUUUGGGUAUUUGAUAUAAACUGGGAUUUAAAGUGGAAGUGAACAGAAAUGGAAGAUUUAAGGAGUUGAAGAUGGAAGCUUGGUUUGGUGAAGUUUGGAAGAAUUUAUGUAAAAACCAGUAUUUCUGGACAUACACUCACUAAAAAGGUAAUUACUCAUUCUCUGUAACUUCAAUUGAGAUUCCGCUUGUUGUUACAGUUAGCUAACAAAAUUCCAGUCGUUUGGGAUACCAGCCUCGUGAGAUUUGGUGGAGAAAUAAGGUCUGUGCGAAUUUUUGAAAUGAAAGGUUCAAUACAGGAUUUUGCAGAAUUCGUGUUUGGACAAGGCUGCACUUAAAUGGUGAGUUCUCACUCUCUAUAAUUCUGUUUGAAAUCUCGUUUGUUUCUAUGGAUAGCUAACUCAAUUAUGGUCGUCUUGGUUCCGGUUUGGUAUAUUUUGGAUGAGUAAUGAGCUCAGAGGACGCAUUUAAAGUUGGAGGUCUGAAGCUGCGUUAUGCAGAAAAUUCUGUUGCGAAUUUGCGUAUUCGAGUGGCACAAUCGGAUGGUUGUUAAGCGUGCGGGACAACUCGGUACUGCAAUUCAUAUCAGGUGGGUUCCCUUAGAGCCUUAAACUCUAGUUAGUUUAGUACCAUAGUUUCCCGAAAUCAAGAAUAUGUAUGACAACAUUAGUUUAGAAAGUAAGUUAAGAUAUUCCCCAAAAGUAUGAUGCAUGAUAACAUUAAGGGUUUUAGGAUUAUAAUGUGUGUGAGGUGGAUUAAAUCCCCAAGUCCACCUCUACUAUAAUUGAUGGAUAUUGGUUAAUGACUAUGACUGAAUGAAUAUGGUUUGUAGGUGGCAAUCUAAUGAAUUUAUAUAGAAAAUGCAAAACAGAGUACUUAACUGGUGUAUUCGCUAAGCGAGGAUUAACUUUGCUGGGCGAUUAUAACAGGACAGUACACUGCAUAAUUACUACUUUUCAAAUUUAGCCACUCGUUUUAAACCCUUAUUUAUUCUGGAACUUUUCCAUAGACAAUAUACUGAUAUACUAGGUUUAUAGCGUCAAACACACUUCAGGAAAUUACGUAUCAGGAAUCAGGGCAAUUUAGAAAUACCUUGGAAGGGAAUUCAUGGGCAGAAUAACAAUCAGGAUUAUCAAGUUAAGUUAGGAAAGUCAGUCAAUCAUGGUGGUUACUUUUGUACCACAUUAUGGGAUUCAGUAGAAUCCAAUUAUGUUAUGAUUGUGAGCUUCAGCCGUGUCGAUGUAUAUUAUUAUCGCAGACGGAUAUGUCAGGCCUCUGAGACCGGCUCACCUCAGAGUGUCUUUGUUAUGAAUAAAACGAACAAGAUAAUAAUUUGUGAUACACCUUUAUGAUAUUAUGUUAUGUUAUGAAUUACGUUAUAAAAUUAUGUUAUGGACUGACUAUCAGGAUCAGAGAACUAUAUUAGUUCAUUAAUUGCCUCGGGUGUAAAUACCAAUAGUUACUGGGUAGUAGGAAUCCACUGAGACGAAGUGACUGUUCUCAUCCCCCACUUAUUUGAUUUCAGACAAGCAGGUUGAUCGAGAUAUCUUGGUUUGUUAGCACGAAGAUUCAGAUACGUGGAUUACGUUAUGGAGCUGACAUCAUGUUAAUCUUAUUAUUAUAUAAGAUUCAGUUUAUUUGAGUUUAGUAGUUAGCUCAAUCAUGUAUUCAUUUAGUGGAUUAUUGUAAUCCUAUUGAUGUAUUUGAUCUUUAUGUAGUGAAAAAUUAAUGUUUCCCGAUUCAGUUAUGUACACUCUUGUUGAUAUUCUAGAUAAAUUGACAUGAGAUGUUAUAAUUGGUAUCAGAGCCUGGUUGGGGGGUACACACAAAAAUAUGAGACGCUGGCUGGUGUGAAUAGGUUAUCUAAUAAACUGAUUGCUAAGGAACUGUCAAAC